rnacentral:lncRNA from 1 species
GUUGCAAAAAUGAAUGCUUCUCUUUGUUGAAGGAGGAUGGGGCAGUGAGGGAAGGUGGGUUGAGGAGAUCAUAGUGGAACCAGGUGGGGGAAUAAGGGUUGUCCAAAGAGUUGAGAAAAUAUGAUGGACCGAUCGGACAUCAGAUUUUUGAAUCUGAAUAUGCUCAGCUGAGUUUGCCAUUGGCUUUUUGAGGGUGCAAGUAGG